AUCCCUGCUUACCAAUGCAUUCAUCAGACAUAGAGGAAUUUACGGCAUGCUGGUUUGCUGGAGUUUUACACCACAUUUUUAUGCAUAUAAACCAGCAGGCAAGCUGUAGUGGUAGUUUUGCAAUCAGUGCAUCAGUGCAUGGGGAAGGGCAGCAAAGAACGGAGACACAAUUAAAUAUGACAUGAAGUGUAGCAGCUCAGCAUACACAAAGCCUCUUCUUAUGUUGCAAAGCAGAAGAGGUUCGUCCAAACUGAGAACAGAGAAUCUCUCCAUCAUCACCACAAGGAGAGAUCAGACAUCCAACCAGGAACUCCUACAGCAGCUGGAACAAACCCCAGAGGUGAAGAUUGUAUUGCCCGAGACCCAUGGCAUCUCAUACUUCUGAUGAAGCAUUUCCCUAUUACCUGCAUUGCCUCAACUGAAUACUUGUAAUGACCCUGCCAUGUAGAUUUUGAGAUAAUCUACAUGUCUCUACCUCCCAGCAACAAGAAUAUUAAUUAAUUAACCCUCCCACCUGCCUAGGAAAGAGAACAAAGACAAAUGAGGGAGCACGCUUUGGAGGAAUGCAAAUAUGAUAAUAGAGAAAUCAGCAUAAAGAAGAUAGGGUUUCAUACAUGUAUUUAAGUUUGUCCAUGUUAAAGGCAAACACAAGGAAUGCAAUGCUAUUGAUGUGUCAAGGAACCCAUCAAAGUAAAGAACUCUACACCAGACAGAGCUGUGAGAGGGAAAUUCUGACUCAGAUUUUGCUUGAAUGGCUGCUUGAACACAGUACAAGUUUUUCAGUUCUGCUUCAUUCACAUGGACUGGGUUUGACAUCCUCUGGAAAGAAUCCAUGUAUCAUCCUCAGUUACGCAACUCCUGGGUGACCAUGAAGCUCUGAUCUGCUGUGGCCUCUGUAUUGCUCAUUGCUGUAUAUCCGCACACAAUUUCUCAAAUUCUUUACAGAUGUUAACAACUCUAAUGUCUUCCAGCCGUCAAUGGAUUGCCUCAGAAUGAGAGGCGUCGUUCUCCACCCAAAUCUGAAGCUGGACAACAUGACUUUAAAUAUGAGAGAUGGAAGAGUCCCAGCUUUCCCAGACUAGUUCACACAGUUCAGUGGCAAACUACUUGAAGAAGCUAAGCAGGAGGAAGAAGAAGGCUCUGAGCCUCUGGUUAGCUUCUCUCGCAAGUCCUGACUGCCUUCUGCCUACAUCUCCCGCGUAUGGGAACUGAUUGCUCUGCUCUCUACUGCUUAUUUCCAUGGAGCUGCCACCUGUAACAGGCCCGCCUGGAAGAAAAAGACCAAAAAAAAAACCCACUCAAAACCCAAGAAGCACGUUACUUGGGCUGCCCUCUUGCUUUUUUCUACCCUUCCAGUCAGGCAUGAUUUUAACAGGUUCUAUCUUGAGAAGUACUAAAUCCAGAAACCAGUAUUUUAUGCCAUCUGGAAGCUUGAUAUCCUUGUUUUUCAAAUGGCUCACAAAAAUAUAUCUAAUUCUAAAUACAAACUAUGGGCUGCUAAAUUCCAAUUCAGAGCAGAAUAAAAACUAAUGCAAUUGAGGCAAAUAGAAAAGCAGAUCCACUGCAGUGCACCGGGCAACUGGAGGAAUCAGCGCAGAAGAGAUGCCUGAGAACUGCGGAUGGGCUGGAACAGGGAAGGCAUUUUCCAGACAAGAACAACCUGAGCAUGUAGAAAUGCUCUUGCAGCCCCAGGACAGAGGAAGGCGAGCUGCGCCAAACAGGACUUUGGGCACAGGCCUGAGGGCAGGUGGCAGGGUGCUUGCAGUUGCAGCACUCUCAAAGCAGAUACAAGCCCCCAGCAGCAUGCACAGAACAGAGGAGCCAGCAGAGAAGCUCAGGCAGGGGGUCAGAAGCCUUCUUAUUGUAAAACAUCAAACAGAUUUGAAUAGAGGAAAAGGUGAGAGCCGUGGGGGCUGGAGAGAGAGUUUCACUGAUUGUUCUGAGGAAGAGGAGGAGGCACAUGAAGCAGACUUUUGGCUGGCCUUCUGGGAGAGUGCUGCAGGUGCAGGGCCUGCAAGGCUGCCCUGCUGCUGCUCCGCAUCCGUAGAAUCACAGAAUCGUUAAAGUCGAAAAAGAGCUGUAAGAUCAUAUAGUCCAACCGUCAGCUCAUCUAUGCUCACUAACCACGUCCCUCAUUGCCACAUCUACCCUUUUAUCACACACCUCCAUGGACGGUGACUCCACCACCACCCUGGGCAGCCUGUUCCAGUGCCUCACCACUCUUUCUGAGAAGAAAUUGCUCCUAAUAUCCAACGUGAGUCCAGGGGCAGAGUUCCUUGCCUUGGGUGCUAAGAACAACUCCAGCAGGAAAGCCAGCUUCCCAAGCUUGGCACAGAGUUUAAAGUUUCGUGGAAUAUUUCUCUCCGGUAUGUGUGUGUAUAAAUGUGUGGAUAUAUACACAUAAACACACUUUUUGUUCUCUGUCUUUUCACAGUUGCAGUAAAAAUAAUCAGUGGCAUUGCCAGCUACCCUUGAGCUUGCUGACUUCUUAGAGAUAGGCACUGGUGCUUCCAGGGUACCUCCUCAGCAAGCACAGCAAGGAGGUAAAAGGCAGGCAAAAAAAAAAUGCACAGCAGAAAUAAAUAAUAGUUAAACUCUAAUAAAGGAACCAUUCAUCU
rnacentral:lncRNA from 1 species